rnacentral:lncRNA from 1 species
CUAAAGGUGAGCUUGAGAUUUUGAUCAUCCCAAAUCUCAGAAAUGGUGGUAGUUUGCUCCUUACAGAUAAUGUUCAUGUUCCAAAACUGAUCAGCAAUAGGUGAAGUACCAAACCAGACAACGUGGACUGUUGAAGAUGCUUCACAUCUUGAUAAUGCUUCAGUUUAUGGAAAAUUUGAAACACCUUCCAAUGCUCCAGGUCUCUUGCUACGAAAUCUGACCACGCUGAAGGCAACAAAUUAUGCUCUGAUUAGUAAGCUACUUCAAAAAUCUAACUCUAUUGCUCUGAUUAGUAAGCUACUUACAAAAUCUAACCCUAUUGUCGUAGCGUCUCCGGUAGCUACCAGAGUACUGCUGGUAAGCUUUACUUGAAAAACAUUAGUAUACAUUGCAUCUCUUGGCAAUCCUAAACGUCAAGAAGCUCAUUGCACCAGGUGGACCUACUGGCCUCUGUCUCAGUACCGUACACCCAAUGUUUAACCUAUUUUAAAUCAAACCACACCAAGAUCAAGUAGCCUACGAUGAUGAUUCACCACCUAGAGGCCUCCAAAAUCUUCAAUUUCCCCAGCUUUUGCACAUCGGGGACCGGAGCACAAAGAAACUAUUUCGUGCAUCAUCAGGCCCUUCUCCCCAUACCCUACGUAGGGAGAAGAGAAUUUCACUCGCCUGGAAGAACGCAGGUCGAACCAGAUGGAGGGACGAGCUCGCCGCCCGGUGACACCUUUACGCCAACCCAGCGGCAGCGGCAAUCUCGACGACGAUGAUGCCAAAACCCCCAAAUGCGUUGGCAAUUAUCCCUACGCGUGCUUUCGCCGGCAGCAGAUUAGAGCUAGGUAGGCCUGGAGUAAUAAUGGAGUGGGGGACGAGGUAGAUGACAAUGGACUCGGCGGCCAGAAUGCCAGUAGUUUCCCCUUCUUCUUUGGACACUGG